GGUCUUACCUAGCAGCAUUGGAUUGUUCUGCUCUAAUACUGUCAGGUAAAGAUGUC
rnacentral:pre_miRNA from 1 species